rnacentral:rRNA from 1 species
UACGAAGGGGGCUAGCGUUGUUCGGAAUUACUGGGCGUAAAGCGCACGUAGGCGGAUUUGUAAGUCAGGGGUGAAAUCCCGGGGCUCAACCUCGGAACUGCCUUUGAUACUGCAAGUCUUGAGUCCGGAAGAGGUGAGUGGGAAUUCCUAGUGUAGAGGUGAAAAUUCGUAGAUAUUAGGAAAGAACACCAGUGGCGAAGGCGGCUCACUGGUCCGGUACUGACGCUGAGGUGCGAAAGCGUGGGGAGCAACAGGG